CUGAAGCGACGCGUGCAAGACUGACCGGUGCACGAGGUUGCGAGGAAGCCGGUGGAAGUCCGGCACGGUCCCGCCACUGUUACCCCGCCCGGGGGAGUCAGGAACUCGUCUUGUGCACGUCGUUUCC
rnacentral:ncRNA from 1 species